rnacentral:lncRNA from 1 species
GGGAUCGGAGAAAGCGGGUGCUUCAGAUGAGUUUUCAUCAGGCCUGGACCUAAAAAUUAGGGUCAGAUGAAGCAGUCACUAGCUUAAAUAGUCCAGAUGGACAGCAGUUAAGGAUUAGGAAAGUAGAUACCAAAUUGUGAUCAAGGGUCAGUCUGUGUCUUCAAAGGUUCCUGCUGUAUUUGCUAAAAAAAUACAGUUUAAAUCCCAGAUUCCAUCCCUUCCUGUCGGCCUUCCAUCCCAGGAGCACACUGGCCUUCAUGCCAUCCGGGAGGUUUGAGAAACAAUAUUUUAACCUACAUGCAAAACUAAAUGGACAACUUGGAAAAGUAAGAACUUGCUUCAGUGUUUAUGUGCUCAAUUCUUCAGGGUUACCAGGAGGAUAGGGACUGGUCCGCUUCCUCUCUUGCCCCUGCCUGCUGCUGCUCAUGCCUGAAGCUGAAGGAGAUACACAGAUAUGGAUACAGGACCAGGUCUUGCUAACCUUGGCGUCUCAUCUUUGCCCGUGAUCAUUGUGAAGGACUGAUCAUGAUAUUUGUGUUUCUGGAUCUCACUAUAUCAGAGCUGGACCCCAGGACUUCAUAGUCAAGUAAACCAAUAAAUCCCUUCUUUGCUUAAACUAAUUGAU